GAUGAACGCUGGCGGCGUGCUUAACACAUGCAAGUCGAACGGUUAAGGCGGAGCUUGCUCUGCUGGAUCCGUGGCGCACGGGUGAGUAACACGUGAGCAAUCUGCCCCUGACUCUGGGAUAAGCGCUGGAAACGGCGUCUAAUACUUGAUACGAGCUGCGAAGGCAUCUUCAGCAGCUGGAAAGAAUUUCGGUCAGGGAUGGGCUCGCGGCCUAUCAGCUGGUUGGUGAGGUAAUGGCUCACCAAGGCGUCGAAGGGUAGCCGGCCUGGGAGGUGGACCGGCCACAAUGGGACUGAGACACGGAGCAGACUCCAACGGGAGGCAGCAGGGGGGAAUAUUGCACAAUGGGCGAAAGCCUGAGGCAGCAACGUCGCGAGAGGGACGACGGCCUUCGGGUGGGAAACCGCUGUUAGCAGGGAAGAAGCGAAAGUGACGGUACCUGCAGAAAAAGCGCCGGCUAACUACGUG
rnacentral:rRNA from 1 species